AGUAGGCGGGAGAAGAAAGGGUAGGGAACUUCCUUCCUGCCCCCUCCGAGUUUUGCCUCCCUCACUGGCAGCAACCCAGCGCUUCCAUUGCUGACCUCUACCGACCUCUACCUGUGGUCCUUCCUCUACUGCAGCAGAGACACUGUUUUCUUCCUUUGUUCUUCCAACCCCAUGAGGAAUAUCACAGAAGUGAAGUGCAAUUCUCAUCAUGUCAUAUCAAGAGCACACACUAACAACAUGACUUAUUGCUGAAUAUUGAACUUGAUCAUCUGGCUGAGGUAGUGUUUGCCAGAUUUCUCUGUAAAGGUGAAUAAACUGACACUGGAACAUUCAGGAACUUCUUCAAUGUCAUGGUCACCCAGCUAGAGUGUGGAAGCCAGGCUGUCUGAUUCCAGGAUCUCUGUUCUUAAUCCUAUGCAUAAGGAAGUCAUAAUGAGUCAACCACUAUUUUUAAGAUUCACAGAUGUUCGGGUCCAAUUCACCAGAAUGCUAAGUUAUACAGGGUUGUGGAAUCAAAAACUGCAAUUAGUAAUAAAAUGUGAUGCUAUCUGGAAUGUUUUUCAUACAUAUAUAUGCUUCUUGGGACUCUCCCUGCAGGUUAAGAGAAAUUGAGAAACGAUGGAGAAUUUAAGUGUUUUAGAUCCUACGUACAUUAGACUUAAAAAUAGUAACUAUAUACAUGAGUAUUUAUAAACUUAAGAAUGAACAUAACAUGAACCAUGUGGCACCUAUAAAAUGAAAAUAAAAUACCUACAAACCAAAUGAGAGCAAUAAAAGAAGCUUUAAGGACUUUCACUUCAGGGAGUCUGAAUUAGAUGCGCUUCUUCCCAUUCCUCCCUCUAAUUACAACAAGCUUGGACGUUACAUACAGAACAAACAGAAGGAGUCUCUGAAAGAUGAAGAGAAGGCAAGUAAGCUACAGACUUCACAACGUAAGGAAUAAUAUGGUGGUGAGUUACAUUUGUGAUUUUUUUUUGUCUCAUAUCCCAUAAUAUCUCAUAUCUCAUAAUCAGAAAGCACAAUGGAAAAGUAUUCCACUGCCAGUGGUGUUAGAGAACUGCUCACAAAUUCAACAGAAAUGCACAGAUACCAAAGCAGAAAGGACAAUAAACAAGAGUCUUCAUGGUCAAAAGAUUAGAAGCUGCAGCUUUCAAUGGGAGGGACAGGUUCUGGACCACACUGCAGUGCUUUUCUGCUUUCUGUGCUUUCCCACUCUAGAGCUGAAGAAGGUAACAACCCCAAAAUGUCAAUAUACAUAGACCAGAAACCAGCCCCAAUAAAAGUCUGCUCUCUCUAGCCAAAGAACUACAGUACGGCAGCCCAGCAAGACAGAAAACCUUCAGACAACCUACCCCAGCCAAACACUACCAAAAAAAGUAAAGUGAGCCAUCACCCAAUCCACAUCAGUAAAAACUAAGUGGAAAGUCCAGACUUUCACCUCAAGAGGUUGCGACAAGCUACUCCAAUACCCCUGCUGGGAUAGUGUCACAGAAGGCUAAAUAAGGAGCUGUAAUGUUGAUUCCCCUCCAGAAGUAAAGAGUCCGUACCUGCUAUUUUCAGAGAGACCACAUGGAAAGCCUAGAUUUCAACACCUACCUGGCAUUAAUGAGGUAUUCCUUCCCUUCUUUACUCUCUGGUGUCAAAGAAGCUCCAUGCAGAGUCAGAAUGUUUGGCAUUACUCCUCAGUAGUGAGGCCACCCCCACCACGGUGUUAGUGGAGACCAUGUGAGGACCAGGACUUGUACCCUGCCCAGAAGUAAUGAGUAGACCCCUCUACAGGAAGGCCAAAGGGCAACCUAAACUUCUACCUCUCUCUGGCAGUAAUAAAGUAGGGCCUCACUUUUCCCUGCUGAGCAAUGUCAAAAAAAAAAGCCAGCUGAAGUAAAAGCUUAUUUCUUUCUUUCUUUAUACAUAUUUUUGGAGACAGGGUCUUAUUCUGUCACCCAAGCUGGAGUACAGCGGCCUCAUCAGGUCUCACUGCAGCCUCAACCUCCUGGGCUCAAGCAAUCCUCCCACCUCAGCCUCUUAUGUAGCUGAGACCACAGAUGUGCACCACCACACAUAGCUAACAUUAACAUUUUUUCUAGAGAUGGGGUCUUCCUGUGUUGCCCAGGCUGGUCUGGAACUCCUGGGCUCAAGUGAGCCUCCCACCUUGACCUCCCGGAGGGCUGGGAUUACAGGUAUGAGUCAUCACUCCAGGCUGAAGCUUUAUAUAAUAACCAGAGUCUCAUAUUACAAACUGUCAAAGAUACAGUCAAAAGUUAUUUGUUAUCAAUGGACAAGAUCUCAAACUAAAUGAAAAAAAGACAAUUAAUAGAUGCUAACACUGAGACAACAAAGUUGUUAGAAUCAUCUGACAAAGAUUUUAAAGCAGCUAUAAUAAAAGUACUACUGCAAGUGAUUAUAAACAUGCUUGAGACAAAUGAAAAAAUGCUAUAAAGCUAAGAAAUAAAAUAUAUAAAUAAUAAUCAAAGAGAAAUUAUAGAACUAAAAGAUACCAUAACUGAAAUGCAAAGCUCCGUGGAUGGACUCAACAACAGAAUGGAAAAGACUGAGGAAAGAAGUAGUUUACAGGAAAUUAGAAUAGACUAGAAAAAAUGAACAAGACCCUGUGCUAAAGAGCAAAUAUUUAUGUCAUUGGAUUCCAGGAAAGAGAAAAGAAUGAAAAAGUACUUAAAUAAUGGCUUAAAAUCUUCUCACAUUUUGCAAAGAUUUAAACCUACAAUUUGAGAAGCUGGGCAAACCUUAAACAGGAUAAACCAAAGACACUCACACCAAGAAACAUAGUAAUUAAACUUCUGAUUAAGGAAGAAAAAGAAAAAUCUGGAAAGCAGCAAGAAAAAAAAUGACACACUUUCUAUAUGGUAAAAGCAAUUUGAACGACAGAAGAUUUCUCAUCAGAAACUGUGGGGACCAUGAGGAAGUAACAGAUAUUUUUCAAGUGCUGAAAUAAAUCAACUGUCAAUACAAAAUGCUCUACUCAGUGAAAAUAUCUUUCAGGAAUAAAGGGGAAAUCAGGACACGCACAGACUUUUUUUAAAUUAAGAAUUUGUUGUCAGCUUAUCUCCCUAAAAGAAUGGCUAACAUUCUCCAGACACGAAGGAAAUUGAUAAGGAAUCUUGAAAUUUCAGUUAGAAACAAUGAAUAUGGUAAGCAAAAUGUAGGUCAGUACACUAAGUUUAAUUUCUCCUCUUGAAUUUUCUAAAUUAUGACUUACGAUUGAAGCAAAAAUCAUAACAUUAUCUGAUGUGUAUGUAGAGGAAAGAUUUAAGACAGUGAUGUUAUAAAUGAGGGGAGUAAAGGAGCAUGAGAUAACCACUAAUAUGACAUACCAAUAGACUAUGAUAAAUUAUGUGUCUAAUGUGGUUACUAGAAAAACCAGUUAAAAUAUAAAGAUUGACGGAGUGAAUUUAAAAACAUGACACACUAUAUGCUGUUUAUCAUAAACUCACUUUGAAGACAAUGCCAUAGUCAGGUUGAAAUUAAAAGGAAUAAAAUAGUAUAUUAUGUAAACCAUCCAAAAGAGCAGGAAUGGCCAUAUUAAUAACAUUAAAGUCAGCUUCAGAACUAAGGAAAUUAUCAGAGAGAGACAUUAUAUAAUGAAAUAGUCGAUUUACCAAAAGAACAUAGCAAUCAUAAAUGUGCAUGAAGCAAACAACAAAGCUGGAAAAUGUAUGAAGUGAAACUGAUAGAUCUAAAAGGAGAAACAGAUAAAUCCAUUCAUUAUAGUUGGGGCCUUUAUCACCCCUCACUCAACAAUUGAUAGAACUGGACAGAAAACCAGUAAGAAUAUGAAAGAACUCAACAACAUGAGACAAUAGGAUCUAGUUGAUAAUUAUAGAACAUUCCAACAGCAGAAUACAUGUUCUCCAAGUGCUCACAGAACACACAUAUAAAGAUAGACCCUGAGCCAUAAAACAAGCCUCAACAAAUUUAAAAGAACUGAAAUACUACAAGUACUUUCUCCAACCACAAAAGAACCAAACUAGAAAUAAAUAAUAAUGAUAAUGGGAAAAUCACCAAACACUUGAAAACUGAACAACAAUAGUUUUAUAACCCAUGGUCAUAGAGGAAAUCUCAAAAGAAAUUUUAAAAAUGCACUGAACUGAAUGAAAAUGAAAACAACAUAAAAUUUGUGAGACACAUAAAGCAGAACUGAUGGGAAAAUAUAUAGCACUAAAUGCAUGCUCUAGUAAAGAAAAGUCUUCAACCAGUAACCUAAGCUUCCACCUCAAAAACCUAAAAAAAGAAGGAAAAAUAGACCCAAUGCCAGCAGAAAGAUGCAAUAACAAAGAGUAGAACUCAAUGAAAUUGAAAACAUAUAAACACUUUAAAGAAUAAAACAAAGAGCUGGUUAUUAGAAAAGAUCAAUUAAUUGACAAACCUCAAGCAAGACCGUCAAAAAAAAAAAAAGGACUUACCUAUACCAGAGAUGAAAUGGGAUAUCGCUAUCAAUACUGCAAACAUCAAAAGAAUAAGUAGAUACUAUGAACUGUACAGACAUGAAUCUGACAAUUUAGACAAAAUAGAUCAUUUCCCUAGAAAACACAAACUACUACAGCUUACCCAAUAUAAAACAGCUUACCCAAUAUAAAAUAGAUUAUUGGAAUAGCCUUAUAAGUACUAAAAAAAAAAAUUAAACUCAUUAUUUAAAAAUUCCUAAAAAGAAAGUCUCCAGAGCCAAAUUGUUUCCUUCAGAAUUCCACCACAUUCAUAAAGAUUUGACAGCAAUUCUAUACAGUCUCUUUGAGAAAAUAGAAGGGGGUAUUUUCUAAUUCAUUUUAAGGAGCUAGUAAAUACCCUGAUACUGAAAUGUAUACUGCAAAUUGAUAAAAUUAUAGACCGCUGCAUAUUAAAUUUCAAAAUAAAAAUGAUAAAAAUACUUGGGUAAUGAAUAACAGCAUAACAAAAAACCACAGACCAAUAUCUCCUGAACAUAGACACAAAAAAUGUUUCACAAUAUGACAUAGAAUUCAGUAAUACAUGAGAAUUUUAUACCACGACCCAGUAAGACUUAAUCCAAGAAUGGAAGACUGGCUCAAUAUUUAAAAAUCAAUCAAUGUAGUGCAAAUAUUAAUAGCUAAUGAAGAAAUGUCAUAAAAUUAAUGCAGAAAAAGGAUUUGACAAAAUUCAACACUCAUUUAUGUAAAAAUGCUCUGAAAAAUAGGAAUUAAAGGACACCUACAAGAAACUUUCAGCUAACAUAAUUCUUAAUGCUGAAUGAUUGAAUGUUUUCUUCCUGAGCUUGAGAAUAAGGUGAGGGUAUCAUCCCUAAUGACGCUUAUUCAACAUAGUGCUCAAAGUUCUAUGAAGUGCAAUUAGGCAAUAAAGGGAAAUAAAAGACAGGUAAAAAAAGGAAGAAAUUAAAUUUUAUUUGAAAAAGCUGAUUGUCUACCUAGAAAAUCUCAAGGAAAACACUACUAAUAUACAGAACAACCUGAAUGAAUCUUUGGAGAAUUAUGCUGCAUCAGAAAAAGCCAAUCCCAAAAGAUUACGUACUAUGUAAUUCCAUUUGUAUAACAUUCUUGAACUGACAAAAGUAUAGAAAUGAACAGAUUAGUGGUUGUUAGGGGUGAGGGGUUAUGGGUCAGAGAUAGGAGUUGGGGAUAUAAAAAGGCAACCUGAGGGAUCCUUAUGGUGAUUGAAACAUUCUGUAUGUUCUAUCAAUGUCAAUACUCUGGUUGGACUAUGGUUCCACAGUUUUGCAAAAUGUUAUUGAGGAAAACUGCAUAAAUGGUGCCCAGGAUCUCUCUAUUGUUUCUUACUGAUUAUGUGUCUGCAAUGAUUGCAAAAUAAAAAGGUUUAAUUUUUAAAAAGGAUUAAACAUUACAUAGCAUACACUUGAGUAAAAGACAAAAUCUGGCUAAGGAUUAUUUUUGUCCUAAGUAAUAUGCAGAUUUUGUACAACAUAAAUCACAAUCCCCUAAAAUCUAUAUUGUAAAUUGAUAAAAUGUAAAACCUGUGUAUUAUAAAAGAUGAACAAAAAUUACAAAACACUAAGAAAUACCCUAGUGCCCCAAUGUAUCAGUAGACAAACACAUGGACAGAUAGUUUGCAAAAGGGGAAGUACAUAUGGUGAAUAAACAUUAUGAGAUGUCUAAUAUUGUUAGCUAUCAAUGAAACAUGAAAUAAAAUGAUGACAUUGCACACAUCUCAAGUCUCUAGCAGAGCACAGACCAAACUGAAAUUUCCCACUUCACCUGGAAUUUAACUUGCUUAAUCAUUUUUCCUCAAUCUAAGUAAAUUCGUAACUAUUCUCUCUAAAUACAUUCACUAGAAUAAUCGACAAGACACUGUACAUCCCUUGACUUCUUGACCUGCAGCUUCCUGAUUGCCCUCUUGGCCUUACUUAGAAAAUACCCACUAGCAUCCUACUAUUAGUAUAAUUCUCAAGUCUCUCCCUGGAAAUAAUAACAGUCUAGGAAAAGGGCCUACAACAUUAACCUCAGAGGGGUUACAGAUUUUUGUGAGAAAUGAUAUCUUCAUGGGGCACACCCCACUCACAAGCACUGGGUGUGACACUCCCAGGACCCUUGGGAGUGGUGGUUCUCUCCAGCUACAGACUGAUAUUACAAAGAUAGGGCAACCUCAUAGGGAAACCUCAUGGGUUUUCGAGCCUUGAAUGUGCCUCAUAGUUUUAUUUUUUCUAAGAUAUGUUUCUACUGGAUUGAGUUAUUGUCAGUCUUCACAAUUUCUCUUCAUUCAAUGGAAAAUUUGAAAAAGAAUUAGGUGUUUGGUCUGACACUGGGAAGUGGACAGGCCUGGCCCUGACAUUUAUGGGAUCUACUCAAGGGUAUAGAAGGAGACACACACUAUGAGCAGUGAAACCCUGAAGCCAAGCCAACCAAUUCCUGUUUACAACUUGCGCAGACCUCCCAACUCUGCUUAUAUCACCCAUUCCAGGUUAGAAGGCCAGAUUCAAACAGAAUUCCCUGCAGAAAUUCCUAUAGAUUCUCUCAAAUCCUCAGCCAGAAUAUGGCAGCGUUGAGAGAGCUGAUCCCCUUUUGCCCACACCCCAGACUUCAGCUGGCAGCUGUCCCUUCUGUUUCCUUCCUGUGUUCUAUCUUGUACUACAAGGGACCUCACAAACAUGUAUGUGGACACCCUAGCCAUUGAGCUCUGUAUUCAUCUCACAAGGAGCCAAUCUUAGGCCACCCUUCCUUGGGUUUUGGAAUAGGCAUAUCAGCUUUGGGAUCUGCUCUUUGGAAGUAGAGCUUUGUGAAGAGCCUGCACAUGCCCAGAAGUGAAGCCAGGGCUGUUUUGGGCAAAGAAUUCUGAGGAUCCAGGGCCCAGACCAUGAAAGGCAUGGUAAGUUCUCUGAGUGAACAAAGAUCUCUUUGGCCCCACCACUCUGCCCUGUGGAGAAGAGCUCAGCUAGAGAGUACAGUGAGGCUGUCAGAAGUAUAAGGCCCAGGACAACGGGAUGUUUAAUGCCAGACAUAGAGGUAAUUGUCCGCAAAAGUGGAAAAUCUUCUAAUUUACCAAUUGACCUAUUAUUCAAUAAUUAACAAGGAAUUCAAUUCGUUUUAUUCCCAUCCAUCCACAUCAAAUGGUCUUAAUGAAUCAUUGUGCAUAUCUUCUCAGCAUCUUAGGCAUUCAUAGGGAAGGAGAGAUAGAUAUAAAGAUUUGGUGGGUACUCCUUUUAUGUUUUGAGGAAUGUCAAAGGGGAUAUAGAGAUCGGAGUUUGGAGGUAGAAUACAGCUCCACUUCUGCUCUCUGUUGCAAUAUAAUGGAAUGUACCAUACUGCUAAGAUGGUCCCCCAGAUGUUCGCCUUUUAUUUAUGCCAUAUAUCUUACUCAAAAUUAUUUGAGGCAGCAUUUCAUUACAAUUUAACUUUGUCCUUUUAAGCUUUUGUCAUGACAAAAAGUACUUUCACAUAUAACAUUUCAUUUUACUCUAGUAUAAUAGAUUGCAUUCAAGAGUUACUUUCUAAUUUCUAAUUUUUGGUUCAUUAAUAAUAAACAACUUUACAUAUUGAGUAAUUUUUAUGCAUCAGGUACAAUGUUACAUGCUGGGAAUAUAAUAGUGAGUAAACAAGAUAGACUAUAAAUUCAAUGAAGAGAGAAUUGUGUCUAUUGGAAAACACACUCCCAAAAAAUCAGGAAAAAAUUUCAAACAAUUAUUAAUUUUAAUAAAUAGCUUUAAGGGGGGAAAAUACAAAAGAACAUAUUAGAUCAUCAAGACAAAAUUAACAAGGAUAUUCAGAACUUGAACUCAGCUCUGGAUCAAGUGGACCUAAUAUCUACAGAACUCUCCAACCAAAAACUAGAGAAUAUAUAUUAUUCUUAGCGCCACAUGACACUUACUCUAAAAUUGAUCACAUAAUUGGAAAUAAAACACUCUUCAGCAAAUGAAAAAGAACUGAAGUCAACAGUCUCUCAGAUCACAGUACAAUCAAAUUAGAACUCAGGAUUACAAAAUUCAAAACCACACAACUAUGUGGAAAUUGAACAAUGUGCUCCUGAAUGACUCCGGGUAAAUAAUGAAAUUAAGGCAGAAAUCAAGAAGUUAUUUGAAACCAAUGGGAACAAAAAGACAAUGUACCAGAAUCUCUGGCAUGCAGCUAAAGCAGUGUUAAGAGGGAAGUUUAUAGCACUAAAUACCCACAUCAGAAAGCUACAAAGAUCUCAAAUCAGUACCCUAACAUCACAACUAAAAGAACUAGAGAACCAAGAGCAAGGCAAACCCCAAAGCUAGCAGAAGACAAGAAAUAAGAUCAGAGCAGAACUGAAGGAGAGAGAGCAACACAAAAAACCCUUCAAAAAAAUCAGUGAAUCCAGAAGCUGGUUUUUUGAAAAAAUAAAAUAGACAACUAGCUAGACUAAUAAAGAAGAAAAGAGAGAAGAAUUAAAUAGACACAAUAAAAAAUGAUAAAGGGCACCUAACCACUGACUCCACAGAAAUACAACCAACCAUCAGAGAAUAUUGUAAGCACCUCUAUGCAAAUAACCUCGAAAAUCUAGAAGAAAUGGAUGAAUUCCUGGACACAUACAUACUCCCAAGACUGAAUCAGGAAGAACUUGAAUCCCUGAAUAGACCAAUAGCAAGUUCUGAAACUGAGGCAGUAGUAAAUAGCCUAACAACAACAACCAAAAAAAAAAAAAAAAAAAAAAAGCCCAGGACCAGAUGGAUUUAUAGCUGAAUUCUACCAGAGGUACACAAAGGAGCUGGUACCAUUUCUUCUGAAACUAUUCCAAACAAUUGAAAAGGAGGGAUAUCUCCCUAACUCAUUUUAUGAGGACAGAAUCAUCCUAAUACCAAAACCUGGCAGAGAUACAAGAAAGAAAAGAAAACUUCAGGCCAUCAGUGCAAAAAUCUUCAAUAAAAUACGGGAAAACUGAAUCUAGCAGCACAUCAAAAAGCUUAUCCACUACAAUCAAGUCAGCUUCAUCCCUGGGAUGCAAGGCUGGUUCAACAUAUGCAAAUCAAACAUAAUUCAUCACAUAAACAGAAAGACAAAAAACCACCAGAUUGUCUGUCUUUUUAAAUGUAGAAAAAGCCUUCAAUAAAAUUUCCAACUUUCCUUCAUGUUAAAAACUCUCAAUAAACUAGGUAUUGAUGGAGCAUACCACAAAAUAACAGCCAUUUAUGACAAACCAACAGCCAAUGUCAUACUGAAUGGGCAAAAGCUAGAAGCAUUCCCCUUGGAAACCAGUACAAGAUAAGGAUGGCCUCUCUCAGUACUUCUAUUCAACACAGUAUUGAAAGUUCUGGUCAGGGCAAUCAGGCAAGAGAAAAAUAAAGUGUAUUUGUAUAGGAAGAGAGGAAGUCAAACUCUCUCCGUUUGCAGAUGACAUAAUCCUAUAUCUAGACAAUCCCACUGUCACAGCCUGAAAGCUUCUUAAGCUGAUAAGCAACUUCAGCAAUGUCUCAGGAUACAAAAUCAAUGUGCAAAAAUUGCAAGCAUUCCUAUACACCAACAAUAGACAAGCAGAGAGCCAAAUCAUGAAUGAAUUCCCAUUCACAAUUGCUGCAAAGAGAAUAAAAUAUCUAGGAAUACAGCUAACAGAAGAUGUGGAGGACCUCUUCAAGGAGAACUACAAACUACUGCUCAAGGAAAUCAGAGAGAACACAAACAAAUGGAAAAACAUUCCAUCCUCAUGGAUAGGAAGAAUUAAUAUUGUGAAAAUGGCCAUACUGCCCAAGGUAAUUUGUAGAUUCAAUGCUAUUCCCAUCAAACUACCAUUGAUAUUCUUCACAGAAUUAGAAAAACUACUUCAAAUUUUAUAUGGAACCAAAGAGGAGCCCAUUUAGCCAAGACAAUCAUAAGCUACCUAGCCUCAAACUAUACUACAAGGCUACAGUAACCAAAACAGCAUGGUACAGGUACAAAAACAGACACAUAGAUCAAUGGAAUAGAAUAGAGAACUCAAAAAUAAGACCAUACACCUACAACCAUCUGAUCUUCGACAAACCUGACAAAAACAGGCAGUGGGAAAUGAUUUCCUAUUUAAUAAAUGGUGCUGGGAGAACUGGCUAGCCAUAUGCAGAAAAUUGAAACUGGACCCCUUCCUUACACCUUGUACAAAAAUUAAGAGAAAGACUUAAAUGUAAAACCCAAAACUAUGAAAACCCUAGAAGAAAACCUAGGCAAUACCAUUCAGGACAUAGGCAUGGGCAAAGAUAUCAUGACUAAAACACCAAAAGCAAUUGCAACAAAAGCAAAAAUUGACAAAUGGAAUCUAAUUAAACUACAGAACUUCUGCACAGCAAAAGAAACUAUGAGAGUGCACAGACAACCUACAGAAUGGAAGAUUUUUGCAAUCUAGCCACCUGACACAGGUCUAAUAUCCAGAAUCUCUACAAGGAACUUAAGAAGAAAACAAACAACCCCAUUAAAAUUGGGCAAAGAACAUGAACAGACACUUCUCAAAAGAAGACAUUUAUGUGGCCAACAAACAUGAAAAAAAGCUCAACAUCACUGAUCAUUAGAGAAAUGAAAAUUAAAACCACAAUGAGAUACCAUCUCAUGCCAAUCAGAAUGGUGAUUAAAAAGUCCAGAAACAACAGAUGCUGGAGAGGCUGUGGAGAAAUAGGAAUGCUUUUACACUAUUGGCGGAAAUGUAGAUUAGUUCAUUGUGGAAGACAAUUUUUCAAAGACCUAGAAUGAGAAAUACCAUUUGACCCAGCAAUUCCAUUACUGGGUAUAUAUCCAAAGGAAUACAAAUCUUUCUAUUAUAAAGAUACAUGCAUGCAUAUGUUCACUGCAGUACUGUUAACAAUAGCAAAGACAUGAAAUCAACCCAAAUGCCCAUCAGUGAUAGACUGGGUAAAGAAAAUGUGGUGCAUAUACACCGUGGAAUAGUAUGCAGCUAUAAAAAGGAAAGAGGUCAUGUCCUUUGCAGAGACAUGGAUGGAGCUGAAAGCCAUUAACCUCAGCAAACUAACACAGGAACAGAAAACCAAACACUGCAUGUUCUCACUUAUAAGUAGAAGCAGAACAAUGAGAACACAUGACACAGGGAGGGGAACAACACACACUGGGGCCUGUUGGGUGGUUGUGGGGAGGAAGAACAAUGGGGUAAAUAGCUAAUGCUUGCAGGGCUUAAUACUUAGGUGAUGGAUUGAUAGAUGCAGAGCACCACCAUGGCACACGUUUACCUAUGUAACAAACCUUCACAUCCUGCACAUGUAUUCCAGAACUUAAAAUAAAAUUAAAAUUACAAAAGAACAAAA